rnacentral:rRNA from 3 species
UGAGACCUGAUGCCGAGCCGAUUGUGGUGAAGUGGAUGAUCCUAUGCUGUCGAGAAAAGCCUCUAGCGAGUUUCAUGGCGGCCCGUACCCUAAACCGACUCAGGUGGUCAGGUAGAGAAUACCGAGGCGUUCGGGUGAACUAUGGUUAAGGAACUCGGCAAAAUGCCCCCGUAACUUCGGGAGAAGGGGGGCCACGGCUGGUGAUCACCCUUGCGGUGUGAGCUGGUGGUGGCCGCAGAGACCAGCGAGAAGCGACUGUUUACUAAAAACACAGGUCCGUGCGAAGCCGUAAGGCGAUGUAUACGGACUGACGCCUGCCCGGUGCUGGAACGUUAAGGGGACCGGUUAGCUCCAUUUCGGUGGGGCGAAGCUGAGAACUUAAGCGCCAGUAAACGGCGGUGGUAACUAUAACCAUCCUAAGGUAGCGAAAUUCCUUGUCGGGUAAGUUCCGACCUGCACGAAUGGCGUAACGACUUCUCGACUGUCUCAACCAUAGGCCCGGUGAAAUUGCACUACGAGUAAAGAUGCUCGUUUCGCGCAGCAGGACGGAAAGACCCCGGGACCUUUACUAUAGCUUGAUAUUGGUGUUUGGUUCGGCUUGUGUAGGAUAGGUGGGAGACUGUGAAGCCGUGACGCCAGUCAUGGUGGAGUCGUUGUUGAAAUACCACUCUGGUCGUGCUGGAUGUCUAACCUGGGUCCGUGAUCCGGAUCAGGGACAGUGUCUGGUGGGUAGUUUAACUGGGGCGGUUGCCUCCUAAAGGGUAACGGAGGCGCCCAAAGGUUCCCUCAGCCUGGUUGGCAAUCAGGUGUUGAGUGUAAGUGCACAAGGGAGCUUGACUGUGAGACUGACGGGUCGAGCAGGUACGAAAGUAGGGACUAGUGAUCCGGCGGUGGCUUGUGGAAGCGCCGUCGCUCAACGGAUAAAAGGUACCCCGGGGAUAACAGGCUGAUCUUCCCCAAGAGUCCAUAUCGACGGGAUGGUUUGGCACCUCGAUGUCGGCUCGUCGCAUCCUGGGGCUGGAGUCGGUCCCAAGGGUUGGGCUGUUCGCCCAUUAAAGCGGUACGCGAGCUGGGUUUAGAACGUCGUGAGACAGUUCGGUCCCUAUCCGCUGUGCGCGUAGGAGUCUUGAGAAGGGCUGUCCCUAGUACGAGAGGACCGGGACGGACGAACCUCUGGUGUGCCAGUUGUUCUGCCAAGGGCAUGGCUGGUUGGCUACGUUCGGAAAGGAUAACCGCUGAAAGCAUCUAAGCGGGAAGCCUGCUUCGAGAUGAGGGCUCCCUCCCACUUGAUGGGGUAAGGCUCCCAGUAGACGACUGGGUUGAUAGGCCAGAUAUGGAAGACCGGUAACGGUUGGAGUUGACUGGUACUAAUAGGCCGAGGGCUUGUCCU